rnacentral:sRNA from 1 species
AUUGAGCCUCUCAGCGAUCUCU